CUCUGCUUAAAGACCUCCAAAGAAGGAGACUCCACCACACUCCUUGGCAGCAAAUUCCACUGUCGAACAGCUCUUACUAUCAGGUAGAUUGUGUGUUUCUUGUAGGAAGGCAAUGUGUGAUUUCAUGGUGUUUACAUACGAGGUGAUGCGGUUUCUUUUGCUGCGGUUUCCCAACCCCCUCAUGUUUAGUUUAAUUGCUUUUAAACUAGCCAUUCUGUUUGUCUACUUUAUAGGUUAAUUCCCUGCCAGCCUGUCUGGGUUGUCCUGUGUCUCUCACUGUGUCUAUCAAACCUAUUGUGUUGCAUUGACAUAAAGUGUGAUGGGUGGGGGAAUAGGUGGAUUAGAGUUAGAUUUGAACUAAAGAGUGGGGGAAAGAUUACAGAAAGUAGCCUAUACAGUGGUACCUCUAGUUACGAACGCUUCAGGUUACAAGCUCUGCUAACCUGGAAGUAGCUGUUCUUGGUUGCGAACUUUGCCCCAGGAUGCGAAUGGGAAUUGCGUGCUGGAGGCGUGCACGCAGCGGGAAGCCCCAUUAGGAAAAGCACGGCUCAGGAUAAGAACGGUUUCAGCUUAAGAAUGGACCUCCGGAACGAAUUAAGUUCA
rnacentral:lncRNA from 1 species